rnacentral:rRNA from 1 species
UGAACGCUGGCGGCAUGCCUAACACAUGCAAGUCGAACGGAAACGACAGGAGCUUGCUCCUGGGCGUCGAGUGGCGGACGGGUGAGUAAUGCAUAGGAAUCUGCCCAUGUAGUGGGGGACAACCUGGGGAAACUCAGGCUAAUACCGCAUGAGCCCUUCGGGGGAAAGCAGGGGAUCUUCGGACCUUGCGCUAUUGGAUGAGCCUAUGCCUGAUUAGCUUGUUGGUGGGGUAACGGCCUACCAAGGCGACGAUCAGUAGCUGGUCUGAGAGGACGAUCAGCCACACUGGGACUGAGACACGGCCCAGACUCCUACGGGAGGCAGCAGUGGGGAAUAUUGGACAAUGGGCGCAAGCCUGAUCCAGCAAUGCCGCGUGUGUGAAGAAGGCCUGCGGGUUGUAAAGCACUUUCAGUGGGGAGGAAAAGCUCAAGAUUAACACUCUUGAGUCUUGACGUUAUCCACAGAAGAAGCACCGGCUAACUCU